rnacentral:rRNA from 1 species
UGGGGAAUAUUGCACAAUGGAGGGAACUCUGAUGCAGCGACGCCGCGUGAACGAAGAAGGCUUUCGUGUUGUUAAGUUCUUUUAUAUGGGAAGCUAAUGACGGUACCAUAUGAAAAAGCCCCGGCUAACUACGUGCCAGCAGCCGCGGUAAUACGUAGGGGGCUAGCGUUGUCCGGAAUCACUGGGCGUAAAGGGUUCGCAGGCGGAAAUGCAAGUCAGGUGUAAAAGGCAGUAGCUUAACUACUGUAAGCAUUUGAAACUGCAUAUCUUGAGAAGAGUAGAGGUAAGUGGAAUUUUUAGUGUAGCGGUGAAAUGCGUAGAUAUUAAAAAGAAUACCGGUGGCGAAGGCGACUUACUGGGCUCAUUCUGACGCUGAGGAACGAAAGCGUGGGUAGCAAACAGG